GGGCGGCCGAUGCCGGAUUAGCUAGUUGGUGAGGUAACGGCUCACCAAGGCGACGAUCCGUAGCUGGUCUGAGAGGAUGAUCAGCCACACUGGGACUGAGACACGGCCCAGACUCCUACGGGAGGCAGCAGUGGGGAAUUUUGGACAAUGGGCGCAAGCCUGAUCCAGCCAUGCCGCGUGAGUGAGGAAGGCCUUCGGGUUGUAAAGCUCUUUCGGCCGGGACGAAAUCGCUCUCGCUAAUAUCGGGAGUGGAUGACGGUACCGGAAUAAGAAGCACCGGCUAACUACGUGCCAGCAGCCGCGGUAAUACGUAGGGUGCGAGCGUUAAUCGGAAUUACUGGGCGUAAAGCGUGCGCAGGCGGUUCCGCAAGUCAGAUGUGAAAUCCCCGGGCUUAACCUGGGAACUGCGUUUGAAACUACGGAGCUAGAGUAUGGCAGAGGGAGGUGGAAUUCCAAGUGUAGUAGUGAAAUGCGUAGAUAUUUGGAGGAACACCGAUGGCGAAGGCAGCCUCCUGGGCUAGUACUGACGCUCAUGCACGAAAGCGUGGGGAGCAAACAGGAUUAGAU
rnacentral:rRNA from 1 species